CAGAAGAGUCCCUAAAGGCUCUCUUCCAAGCCAGGUAGUUGACUUUCAGGUCCCCCCUUCUGUGCAUAGUCAGGGCAGUUGAAAUGAGAUCUGGAUUGUCUUCUGGAGCCAGUCAGGCUGUCAGCACUGACCACUGACUGUACUCUUCAUUCUUGGAUAUCCAUUCUGAACAGAUCACACUGAACUGAAAUGCAGCCAAUGUGGAGGCCGAGAAAGUGAGGUGGCUCUGUACUGUGCUGCCUUCCACCGGUUAAGUCCUCCGAGAGCAAAUGGCUGCCCAGACAGGUUAUGUCCCUUUGCCACUCUCAGAGGGGCAGCACUGUCCUGGCCAACAUUUGUGGUGCUGCGCAUGCCUGGCUCAGCAGUGACUGUUGGAUUUGACUCUGAGUAUACUGUGUUAAAACCUAAGAGACCCACCUUCUCUGUAGGACUCACAUGAGUGGGGGCCCUCUGGUAGAUCAGUCCUUCCCAGUUGUGUUUAACCAGAGAGCAUCUGGACCUUUAGCAUCUCCUUGUUGCUGAUUCAGAAGCUGGCAUCAGGCACAGGCACUGGAGAGGUCACUGAGACACUGCGAAAGCGAUGCCCAGUGAAGAGCCUGCACUGACCAUGGAAGAGAACAGCGGGCUGGACGAAGCUGCGGUGCAGGGCGGCCCAUGCCCGGGCCGCCUGGGGGCGCCCCCCACGCCGAGGCCUGGGGGUGCUUUCACCUGGCACCUGCGCGCCCCCGGGCACCGUCUGGCCGCUGGGCCACUUGCCGGCUGUGCGGGGGAGCAGGUGGGCCGCGGCCCGGGCUUCCAGGCGGGCACCUCGGCUCUGUGGCGACACCUGAAGGCGCGCACCGGCGGGAGCUGGGGAACAGCGGUGCGCCCGGCCCUGUGGCAGCCGCGGGCGCGAGUGGGCGCGGCUGCGGGAGCAGAUGGGCGCGCUGGCCGAGCAGGGCCGGCGGCGUGAGCGCGAGCUGGCGCGGAGGGAGGAGGCGGCCGUGGCCAGGGCGAGCGCGCCCUGGAGCGCGGGCGGAGCGCGCUGCGGGCCCUGGAGCGCCGGCUGCAGGCGGAACGCGAGGCCCUGCAGACGAGGCUGCGAGAGCUGGGCUGGCCCUCCGCGCCGCCCCCGGCCUCCGUACCGAAAAGAGGACCCCGAGGACCGGGUCGGGGACAGCUGCGUUGCCGCCAAGGUCCUGCUAUAGAGGUUGGCUGAUUCCACCCGUGGGCGCGAUAUGCCAAAUGCGGGGCCUCACGCAAAGUUCAUACCAGUGCGAAACCAAAACCACCGCGUCCUCGGGUGCCUUUGACUUCCUGUGCCUUGACGCAUGUGAAAAACAAAGUCGCACUGAAGGGGAACCAAAGAGCCCCAGCAUCCUUGGUGCCAUAUCACUUGAGGCUGGUGACUGAAAGGACAGAAGCUGCUUUACACGCCAAAGACUCUUCACUCUGUGUGCUUUAU
rnacentral:lncRNA from 1 species